AGGGAGGAGGAACACAAGGAGCAGGAAGAGAGAAAAGCAAGGGGAAGCCAUGAUGGAUCUGAGAGCACAAAAUAAGAGCAGACAGAUCUGCAGUGGAGCCACCUGGACCCCGGGAGGACAAAGAGGAUAUGCAGAGCACUGAAGCUCUGCCACCUGACCAAUGAACAUCCUGCUCAGAGAUAGAUCGAAUGGUGGCUUUGGAUGCUGAAGUAGUUGGCAUAUCAAACUCCACAUCCACAUGGCCGACAAAACUAGAAGGCACUUCCCGGUCUGAGCCAAGCUCUAAGUGGCAGAAGAAGCAGUGUGGAUGACCAGAAGCUACAAAAAAGCAAAAGAUUAUGGACAUUAGACCUUUCCUUUGAGAUCUAGAAAAUUAAAAUGUUCCGAAGGGGCUUCUUAAAAACAGAACAACACAAGAAAGACAGCUUAAUUAAUGUGAUGGUCAUGAGUCAGAAAAUUGUUGUCAGUGUCAUGACUGAAAAAUGAGAGAUAUGAAAAUGUAAAUGUACUGCCUUCAAGUCAAUUCCGACUUACGGUGACCCUAUGA